GCCUGAUGCAGCCUGCCGCGUGUGUGAAGAAGGCCUUCGGGUUGUAAAGCACUUUCAGUUGUGAGGAAAGGAGUGUCGUUAAUAGCGGCAUUCUGUGACGUUAACAACAGAAGAAGCACCGGCUAACUUCGUGCCAGCAGCCGCGGUAAUACGAGGGGUGCAAGCGUUAAUCGGAAUUACUGGGCGUAAAGCGUUCGUAGGCGGUCUAUUAAGCAAGAUGUGAAAGCCCAGGGCUCAACCUUGGAACUGCAUUUUGAACUGGUAGACUAGAGUACUGUAGAGGGUGGUGGAAUUUCCAGUGUAGCGGUGAAAUGCGUAGAGAUUGGAAGGAACAUCAGUGGCGAAGGCGGCCACCUGGACAGAUACUGACGCUGAGGAACGAAAGCGUGGGGAGCGAACAGGAUUAGAUACCCUGGUAGUCCACGCCGUAAACGAUGUCAACUAGCCGUUUGUGGACUUGAUCCGUGAGUGGCGCAGCUAACGCACUAAGUUGACCGCCUGGGGAGUACGGCCGCAAGGUUAAAACUCAAAUGAAUUGACGGGGGCCCGCACAAGCGGUGGAGCAUGUGGUUUAAUUCGAUGCAACGCGAAGAACCUUACCAUCCCUUGACAUCCACAGAAGAGACUAGAGAUGGACUUGUGCCUUCGGGAACUGUGUGACAGGUGCUGCAUGGCUGUCGUUAGCUUGUGUUGUGAAAUGUUGGGUUAAGUCCCGCAACGAGCGCAACCCCUAUCCUUAUUUGCCAGCCGCGUUAUGGCGGGAACUUUAAGGAGAAUGCCGGUGAUAAACCGGAGGAAGGUGGGGACGACGUCAAGUCAUCAUGGCCCUUACGGGAUGGGCUACACACGUGCUACAAUGGCAGGUACAGAGGGCAGCAAUACCCGCGAGGUGGGAGCGAAUCCCACAAAGCUUUGUCGUAGUUCCGGAAUCGGGAGUCUGCAACUUCGACUUCCGUGAAAGUCCGGGAAUUCGCUUAGUU
rnacentral:rRNA from 1 species